AUACGUAGGGGGCGAGCGUUGUCCGGAAUGAUUGGGCGUAAAGGGCGCGUAGGCGGCCUGUUAAGUCUGGAGUGAAAGUCCUGUUUUCAAGAUGGGAAUUGCUUUGGAUACUGAUGGGCUUGAGUGCAGGAGAGGUUAUCGGAAUUCCCGGUGUAGAGGUGAAAUGCGUAGAGAUCGGGAGGAACACCAGUGGCGAAGGCGGGUAACUGGACUGCAACUGACGCUGAGGCGCGAAAGUGUGGGGAGCAAACAGGAUUAGAUACCCUGGUAGUCCACACUGUAAACGAUGAAUGCUAGGUGUAAGAGGUAUCGACCCCUUUUGUGCCGGAGUUAACACAAUAAGCAUUCCGCCUGGGGAGUACGGCCGCAAGGUUGAAACUCAAAGGAAUUGACGGGG
rnacentral:rRNA from 1 species